rnacentral:rRNA from 1 species
GACGAACGCUGGCGGCGUGCCUAACACAUGCAAGUCGAACGGAGUUAAGAAGGAGCUUGCUUCAUCUUAACUUAGUGGCGGACGGGUGAGUAACGCGUGAGUAACCUGCCUUUCAGAGGGGGAUAACGUCUGGAAACGGACGCUAAUACCGCAUGACAUUUCUGUGCCGCAUGACAUAGAAAUCAAAGGAGCAAUCCGCUGAGAGAUGGACUCGCGUCCAAUUAGCUAGUUGGUGAGAUAAAGGCCCACCAAGGCGACGAUCGGUAGCCGGACUGAGAGGUUGAACGGCCACAUUGGGACUGAGACACGGCCCAGACUCCUACGGGAGGCAGCAGUGGGGGAUAUUGCACAAUGGAGGAAACUCUGAUGCAGCAACGCCGCGUGAGGGAAGAAGGUCUUCGGAUUGUAAACCUUUGUCCUUGGUGAAGAAAAGAAUGACGGUAGCCAAGGAGGAAGCUCCGGCUAACUACGUGCCAGCAGCCGCGGUAAUACGUAGGGAGCAAGCGUUGUCCGGAU